GCACAGUGGUGCUGGCAGACGGGACAGGGCAGGAUGUCCAGCAGGUCCUGCCAGCGCUGCUGGAGGCAGGAGGCACAGCAGUGGUGCCCACAGUCCAGGGUCACCGGGUCUGUCAGCCAGUCCAGGCACACAGGGCAGCUGAACUCUGCCCUCAGCUCUUCCAGGAAGUCUUGCUGGGCCAUGGUGCAGGGGGCUCUGUCCCAGGACACUUCCUGAGCUAGGCUGCUGUCCAGGAGCAGGAAAAAUGCCUAAGAAGCACAUGCCUGUGCCUGUGAUUUCUACCACCCAAAAAUGCGUGCCAGCUUCAAAGCCCUCAGAGCUGUGGACAGCUGUGUGAGAAGGAAGUGCCUUGGCACAGGGAUGAGGACCAUUAUUUCACUGUCAAACAGAAUUUUCUUCCUAUUUUGGCCUGUGAAGCAACCCCCCUGCAGCCACCAGUUUCUAGAUUCCAUCAUGAUGCCGACUAU